AUUUACUAAUCUUACCUAAGUCAUUGUUUAGAUAUGCAGCAAUAUUGACACAUGGGCCGAGCCAUGUGCCAACAGGGAGGAAGGAUGGUAGAGCAGGUUAUGAAACACCAGGUGGUAGAGCAGGUUAUGAAACACCAGGUGGUAGAGCAGGUUAGGAAACACCAGGUGGUAGAGCAGGUUAUGAAACACCAGGUGGUAGAGCAGGUUAUGAAACACCAGGUGGUAGAGCAGGUUAUGAAACACCAGGUGGUAGAGCAGGUUAGGAAACACCAGGUGGUAGAGCAGGUUAUGAAACACCAGGUGGUAGAGCAGGUUAUGAAACACCAGGUGGUAGAGCAGGUUAGGAAACACCAGGUGGUAGAGCAGGUUAUGAAACACCAGGUGGUAGAGCAGGUUAUGAAACACCAGGUGGUAGAGCAGGUUAGGAAACACCAGGUGGUAGAGCAGGUUAGGAAACACCAGGUGGUAGAGCAGGUUAGGAAACACCAGGUGGUAGAGCAGGUUAGGAAACACCAGGUGGUAGAGCAGGUUAGGAAACACCAGGUGGUAGAGCAGGUUAGGAAACACCAGGUGGU